UACGUAGGGAGCAAGCGUUGUCCGGAAUCAUUGGGCGUAAAGCGCGCGUAGGCGGCCCUGUAAGUCCGCUCUGAAAGUCGAAGGCUCAACCUUCGAAAGCGGGUGGAUACUGCAGGGCUAGAGUCCGGAAGAGGCGGGUGGAAUUCCUGGUGUAGCGGUGGAAUGCGCAGAUAUCAGGAGGAACACCAACGGCGAAGGCAGCCCGCUGGGACGGUACUGACGCUGAGGCGCGAAAGCGUGGGGAGCGAACAGG
rnacentral:rRNA from 1 species